AUGAUUGAGCAUUUCAUUAAAGUAAUGUUUAAAAGACAUUUCUCGUUUGUUCUUUCAGCUGCAGCCUCGCUGGUGUUUAACUGUCUGACAGUAAAGAAGAUAAAAGAUAUGUGCAAACACAAACACAUGAAAAGUAUUUGCAGAAAAGCUAAAACAGCUGUAUUAGACUAAUCAUACAAAUUUUCAUGCAUGGGUUGUUUAUAGGCAGUAAUCAUAAGAAAUUCCCUAAUUGGACCUUGUUACACAUUUUGGUGGUGGACUCUGAGGCAGACAAUUACUUCACACCCCAUUUUCCUUAACUGGAAUGAUAGUAAAUUUUGGACCGUAAAUAAUACAUGUAAUUGGUAUUAUGUUUACAAUAUACCUGGAUGGCCAUGAUGAACACUGAGACCUCCUGAAAAACAAACAGUUCUAAUUGCAGGUUCAAAGGUCUACUUCAACAGUUUGUAAAUUUGGAUUGUACUAGGUCAAUAGUUGCUCACCUGUAGAUGUUUAAUCAUGCUGACUCAACUUUGCCUUACCUUAAUCUUUUCAGUUUGCCCCAUACCAAUGAAAAGUCCUUCUCUUUCCUUUUGGUUGCCAAGUGCCGGGUCAGACUGCAUGUCCCUCCUCAGUGCUUCAAACUCUACCUUUGCACACUGUAACUAGAAUAGAACUAAAAUAGAGUCAUUUAGUUCUGCAGUUUUUGCUAGAGAAUGCAUUUGAGUAAUUUAAAUAUGUCAAUCCACAGAAAACUGGACCCUGCCACACACAGGAAAGACAAUUUAUGCCCCAUUUUUCUAAUUUGAGGUUUGCUCAUUUUAUAGGGGAUCAGGCUUUAGCCUCUUUCCCUCCAAAAUAUCUGAUAAUUUAGAUUUUCUCCUAAAUUGUUUUUUUGGGUUCAUUCUUUGGGAGAGUUAACAAUAUCUCUGCUAAGCUAUAUGUUUCCCCCCCUUUGCCAAUGCAGUUAAGAUUAUGACCGAAUCCUUCGCUGCUUCCUCCUUCAUUCUUCUUUUUCCUUCCUUUUGAAAUGAACUACAAAUUGCUCACACACUGAAUUAUAGCACUAUGGAUGGUUUAGUGCUGCACAUUUAGAGCUAGCAUCUUACAUGAACAGAGGUAGCUGCCACUGGUCUAUAUGUAGCCGCACUGAAAAAGAUUAAAGACAGAUUAUUUGUCAUAUCUGCAUACAGAUUUACACAUGUGUACACAUUUGCACCCACACAGUUACAUACAUGUCAGGAGGAUACCCAAGAGCAGUGUACCAGGGUCAGAAACAGCAGAUGUUUAAAUAUCUCAUUUCGUGUUACCAGGGAUCCCGAGUUUCAUCAGUACCCCAACUUUUAGUAAAUCCCCAUGUGUAAGUUUCCUCCCUUCAAUAAUGCAAUGCUCAUCCUGGAUUAAUAACUUCUCUAAGUUUACUUAUCUGUCCCAUGCCCUACUGGGGUUCUAAUGCUCUGUGUGUAUCUGUUCUAGUGUCAAUGAGAGUCAUGUCUGCACCCUUUAUGUAUUAAACUUUUCAAUAAUAUUCUAAUGUAAGAGUGUUAGUAAUGAAUAUAUUUUUAAUAAUCUCCUAUCUAAUGCUUUCAUGUGGCCUAGUUCUUAUUAUUUGUGUUCUUUUUCUACUGGGAGAGUAACACAAGGAGUGGAGCCCAGGGCUUUAAACUUAUUAGUUUGCUGGGAGCAUUACUGAUGCAGCUGCCUCAUGUUGUUCACUGCAGAUAUCAUGGAUAGUUAGGUACUCUGGUAUCAGUCACAGUCCAUAUACUGAAGAUUUCUCUUGGCAGUAAAUUCCUUGUUGGUAUGGUACUGCCCACAUUCCUCUUGGAGUUCUCCAGGAACAUCCACACAGAGAACAUCCCAGAUGCAGACGAUGUUGGCUCUUAGAGGCCACCGAUUGUCAGUCCUCAGCAGAUUGAUGAGUAUGUCAGCUGACUAAAAGUGUGUUUUAAUACACUUUUCCAGCCCUCUGCAGAUACAGUCUUUCAUUGG
ensembl:lncRNA